AUCUGGUUCAGGACGAACGCUGGCGGCGUGCCUAAUACAUGCAAGUCGAACGGUCUUUUCUAUGGAAGCUUGCUCCACUGAGAAGAUAGUGGCGAACGGGUGAGUAACACGUGGGUAACCUGCCCAUAAGAGGGGGGAUAACAUCCGGAAACGGGUGCUAAUACCGCAUAGUUUUCUUGAUCGCAUGAUCGGGAAAGGAAAGACGGCCUUUGUGCUGUCGCUUAUGGAUGGACCCGCGGCGUAUUAGUUAGUUGGUGAGGUAACGGCUCACCAAGACGAUGAUACGUAGCCGACCUGAGAGGGUGAUCGGCCACAUUGGGACUGAGACACGGCCCAAACUCCUACGGGAGGCAGCAGUAGGGAAUCUUCCGCAAUGGACGAAAGUCUGACGGAGCAACGCCGCGUGAGUGAAGAAAAGGUUUUCGGAUCGUAAAACUCUGUUGUCAGAGAAGAACAAGUUGGAGAGUAACUGCUCCAGCCUUGACGGUAUCUGACCAGAAAGCCACGGCUAACUACGUGCCAGCAGCCGC
rnacentral:rRNA from 1 species